UCCGUAGGUGGCAAUCGUUGUCCGGAUUUACUGGGCGUAAAGGGAGCGUAGGUGGAUAUUUAAGUGGGAUGUGAAAUACUCGGGCUUAACCUGAGUGCUGCAUUCCAAACUGGAUAUCUAGAGUGCAGGAGAGGAAAGUAGAAUUCCUAGUGUAGCGGUGAAAUGCGUAGAGAUUAGGAAGAAUACCAGUGGCGAAGGCGACUUUCUGGACUGUAACUGACACUGAGGCUCGAAAGCGUGGGGAGAAAACAGG
rnacentral:rRNA from 1 species